UUGACGGUCGAAGGGUGGUUUGUGAUGGAGCAAAUGAAGGCAACUGCUGAAACUUUGCGGCGAGAAAAUAGGGAUUUGCUCCUGAAGCUUCGUGCCACCGAAGAAGGCUUGCGAUCUGUGUCCCAAGAAAAAGAUAAUCUGAUGAUCCUGGUUCAGGAACUCAAGAACGAGAGGGAUAUCACGAACGACAACAUGAUUCGUCUUUCCAGGACCAUUGAGAAGACAGUUGCGGCUAAUUUGGAGCUACAGGAACACGUCAGAGCGACAGCUAGGUUUUCUAAAGGAUGUCGUGAAAUUCUACAGGAAUCGAGAAGAGCAACUUUUGAUAAAUCCACCCAAUACAGGCUGGGCCCAACAACAGAUGAGAUGAAACGCAAAUUGGAGCAAUUAGCUAUUGAACUCGGCCAGCAAGUGGGCGAGAAAGAGCGCUUGUUAGCAGAAAACAAAGAGAAGACGGAGAGCCUGCAGAAAGCCAUGAGGAAGUCUGCGCGCCUUAAGAGGAUAAUGGACAAUUGCUGGAAUACGGUGAUGAGCCUAAGAAUGGAAAACGACCGCCUUCGAUGCUCACUGGUGUUAAUCACAGAGAAGGAGGUGAUGAACAAACUCUCAAUCAUGGAGAAGAAGAAAGACUAUAUUGCCAGUGUGACUUGUCACCUGAAGGGUGAACGGGAGAGACUGAAAGCGGUUGUAACCAAAGGGCUUGCGCGGGUCUCGCACAGCCACGCCGCCCAAAUCCGGAAGCUUCAGAAACAGUACGAACAAGCCAGCAAAGAUCUUUGCUGUCUAUUGGAUGACAUUAAGUACUAUUUCUUCAGCUGGUUCAAGGAGUACAAUGACUAUUACAUGAGCAUCUCCCGGAACACGAUGGAUCUGCUGGAGGAGAAUAUAAAACAGCUGAAGGUGGUCGUGCAGAUCCAAAACCUGAAGAAGGUGGACCAAAAUGGGGAUGAGUUUGAAGAGAUGACAAUCCCUGCCCUGAGAGAGAAACUGGAUGUCUUCUUAGAGGGUAUUUUGGAAGAAGUUUCUGCGUUGGAGGAAGAACUCCUCGCAAUAGAAGCCAAGGUGCAGGAACUGGAAAACAGCCAUGAAGAAAGGAAACAAUACGUAGAAAAGUGCAGCGCCUCUUUCUCCAUGCAAGAAUUUGAGAAAGGAAUUGGCUCCGACACGGAGACGCUCCGACAUAUUUUAGAUACCCUGAAACCAAUCUCUCAGGCUCUCAGCCGGGCUAGAAAAAAGGUGGUGCUCAGGCACGCCUUUUACAGCAAAGAGUCUGAAGUGACAAUGAAGACAUCCAGAGAGAAAUCCAAGCAAUGGCUUCACAAACUGGCGGUGCUCCAGGAACUGCGUGCCGCCUCGCCAGCUACUGCCCGGGAACUGGAAGAAGCCAUGAAAUUAGAACAGAACUUGACCGCAGUGGAACGGGUGAUGGUGGCCCAGUUAGAUGAAGCAGCCGCUCUGGAGAAGGAAGAACCAGAGACAAUCACGCUUCAACCUGCUAAAGAUGAUGUGGCGUAAGGGCCAGUGAAACGGAAGAACACAAGGGAUACUUCUGUUCCAAAGACUUCCAUUGAUCAGCACCACGUUUUUAACAAUACUACUGUUUUUUUAACUUGCUGUAUAUGCACAACGAAAUAAAGCUAGCUAGUUCUACUCA
rnacentral:lncRNA from 1 species